UAAAGAGUUCUAUAACUCCCAAACCCAUGUGAACAUACCUAACGUUGCCUCGGCAGGUCGCACCUACCUUGUAGCACCCUACCCUGUAGGGCCUACCCGGGAGGUGCGGGUAAGCCUGCCGGCGGCCCACCAAACUCUGUUUGAUAUUGAAUUCUGAACCUAUAACUAAAUAAGUUAAAACUUUCAACAACGGAUCUCUUGGUUCUGGCAUCGAUGAAGAACGCAGCGAAAUGCGAUAAGUAAUGUGAAUUGCAGAAUUCAGUGAAUCAUCGAAUCUUUGAACGCAUAUUGCGCCCAUUAGUAUUCUAGUGGGCAGGACCGUUCGAGCGUCAUUUCAACCCUUAAGCCUUCGUUGCUUAGUGUUGGGAGCCUACGGCAACGUAGCUCCUCAAAGUUAGUGGCGGAGUUGGUUCACACUCUAGACGUAGUAAUUUUUUAUCUCGCCUAUUAGUUGGACUAAUCCCCUGCCGUAAAACCCCCAAUUUAUCAAGGUUGACCUCGAAUCGGUUCAGACAAACUCGCUAAAUUGAAGCAUCUUAGUCAGCGAAGGAAAAGAAACCAACAGGGAUUGCCCUAGUAACGGCGAGUGAAGCGGCAACAGCU
rnacentral:rRNA from 1 species